rnacentral:rRNA from 1 species
AGAACGAACGCUGGCGGCAUGCCUAAUACAUGCAAGUCGAACGAACUCUUCGGAGUUAGUGGCGCACGGGUGCGUAACGCGUGGGAAUCUGCCCCUUGGUUCGGAAUAACAGUUGGAAACGACUGCUAAUACCGGAUGAUGACGAAAGUCCAAAGAUUUAUCGCCAAGGGAUGAGCCCGCGUAGGAUUAGCUAGUUGGUGAGGUAAAGGCUCACCAAGGCAACGAUCCUUAGCUGGUCUGAGAGGAUGAUCAGCCACACUGGAACUGAGACACGGUCCAGACUCCUACGGGAGGCAGCAGUGGGGAAUAUUGGACAAUGGGCGCAAGCCUGAUCCAGCCAUACCGCGUGGGUGAAGAAGGCCUU